GACGAACGCUGGCGGCGUGCUUAACACAUGCAAGUCGAACGGAAAGGCCUCUUUCGGGGGGUACUCGAGUGGCGAACGGGUGAGUAACACGUGAGUAACCUGCCCUUGACUUUGGGAUAACUUCAGGAAACUGGGGCUAAUACCGGAUAGGAGCUCCUGCUGCAUGGUGGGGGUUGGAAAGUUUCGGCGGUUGGGGAUGGACUCGCGGCUUAUCAGCUUGUUGGUGGGGUAGUGGCUUACCAAGGCUUUGACGGGUAGCCGGCCUGAGAGGGUGACCGGCCACUGGGGAAGUGAGACACGCCCGAGCCCCCUCGGGGGGGCAGGGGGGGGGAAUUUGGCAAAAGGGGUGGAGCCGUGAUGCAGCACCCCGGUGGGGGGAAUACCGUCUUUGGGUUUGAACCCCGUUUCCUCCAAUACCGAAGUUUUGGGUAGGGGAGGGGGUAAAAGAAGAACGGCUAACCACCG
rnacentral:rRNA from 1 species